CCUGGCAAUUUUGACAAUAACAAAAAAAAGAAAUGUCAAGCAAAAUGGAGGAAAAACUUACGACCUGUGGAAUUUCGUUUCUAAGUGAAAAUUAACUAAACAUCAGUCGAUAAACUGUGAAAAUUGUCACAUAUUUUGUUGCAGCAGCGAUGGGGGUUUUGGCUGGACAAAAUUUUGGUCAUUUCUCAUCUUAUUAACAGAAUUACUCGUUUUACUCAUUGAUGUAUUUUCGUAAUUUUAGGCGUUUUGGACUGCCGUUCUUUCAUUCCAUUGUAAUUUUCUUUGUUUAUUUUCAUUCUAUCGCACAUAGUUAGUUAUUAGGGUUAGGUUAGGCAAGGUUAGGCGCAGAUUUUAUAAUGAACAUACAAGUAUGCAGGGAUCCAUCAGACGCUGUGGCUUUGUACUUGCCGCAGCGUUUGUAUCUUAAAUCUUUUGCAAAGAUUAACAUUUCUGUCCAGCUCCCCUCCCACAAGGUACAUGGCAAGUCGAUCUCCAACUGGGAACUCAUGGAGAAGUUGCGGAAGAUGAUCCUACCUGAUAGUUUCUCGAUGUUAAAAGUGUCGAAGCAUAGUUCGGAAGUGAUAAGAUUUGAUGCGGAAUUAGAGAGUCGCGACAACCUCGAUCGAGUGCUCGCUAGGCUUGACGACAGAGUUGUGCAACUCAAGGAGUACCCUGAUCAGUUGAAGGUUCGUGUUAGCGAGGCCAAGUCUGAGUUCCCCAGUCGUCAUGACUGGGAUUCGUUCUUCCGUGAUACAACCGAGAUGGAUGAAAUGAAACCUGGAGAGCGUCCAGACACUAUCCACAUAUCCAAUUUGCCAAUAAGGUGGUUUGUACAUGAGAGGGAUAAAGAUGAAGAUGCACUUCCAUCUGAGAGUUUGAUGAAGAAGAUAUUUGAGAAGUUUGGUGCUGUCCGCCAAGUAGACAUACCAGCCUCUGAUCCUUACAGAAUGCAGAUGAAAUCAACAAUAAGAGGCAUCACCACACCACCACAGGAUGCUGCUCUGUACUUUGAGACGUACAUACAGUUCAGUGAAUAUGUUGGCUUUGUACGCUGUAUGGAUGCUUUACGAGGCCGGAAACUUCUCAGGAAGCGAGAUGACAUAGCAGAGUGGUGUGGUAUUAAGGUAGAGUUUGAUAAGACUAAACACAUGACUGAUGCUGCUGUGAAACGAAGGUCUAUAGUUCGGGAAAGACUGACUUCUCGUCAACUAGCUAAGGAAAAUGAGGAAAAAGCGGAGAAGGAGAGGAUAGCAAAAAGAGAGGCAAAAGAAAGGCAAAAAUAUGAGCGAUCCGAAAGAGAAAAGCUAGAGAAGAUGCGAGAACGAGAAGAGAGACGUAAGAAGAAGCAGCUAGCCAAGUUGAUGCAGAGUGACAACUUGGACCUGAACAGCAGGGUGGCUGAAGAACAGAAGAAACUGAUGAAAGCUCAGAAAAAGCUCCAGGCUAUUCGGUUGAUCGAGGAGUUGUUCAAGAGGAUAGAGUUACGUCCAGAACUACAGCGUAACGGUAACCGUGGAGAUCAGUACUACUUACCCGGAGAGCGUACCGCUAGAGCUCGCAUCAUUGACAAGUUCAAACGACAGCAGCAGCAGCUGGUUGAAGAGCAGCGGAAUAAUUAUAAUAACGCUUUAAAUGGUCGCAUAGUAAUCCGCUCAGCCCUUGAAACUAAGAAGCCAAAACGCGAGUCGUCCAUCAGCUCAGUGUCUUCAGACGACCGCUCCAAUGAUAACAGAGACCAUUACAAGAAGAUCAAAACGGAACGGCUGACCACGCCAGAGAGGGAAAUGGAGUAUAACAAGACCACAGCGGGAAUGUACAGCGUGCCGUACGGUUUCGGGUACCCGUUCGCCUGCCCGCCCGGAUACGCCUAUCCACCGCAAACAAAUUACAGGUACUUAAUAUCACAGAAACCAUAUAUGUGUGUAAAAUAAAAAGUGAGAUAUAUUUUUGUCGAGCGAAAGUAUGUUCUCUUUUCGCUCAUCACGCGAGCGAAGUGAGAAUAUGUUUUCGCUCGCUGCUGUCGCUCGGUGGGCGGCUAGUGUAGUGUAGUGGUGUGCAGCGUCCAUGUACUACCCCGUGCGCGGCGCCUACUACCCGCCGCCCAACGACUACCGCCGCCCUCGCGCCCGGGGACGAGGCCGGGGCAGGCCCAGGAUGCCAUACUUCGAUGGACCUGAUGCUAACCAGCAGUAUUAUAGAUACUUCAAGAAGCUGACAGAAGGCAACCCUCACAGUGAACACGAGGACAGAUCUCGCGGCCGCUCGCACUCGCGCUCGCGGUCACGCCGCAGGUCACACUCACGGUCAAGGUCACGCCGCCGGUCCUACACGAGGUCAAGGUCACGCAGCCGAAGGUCAAGGAGCCGUAGAAGCAGGAGCAGACGGUCUAGAUCUAGGAGUAGGAGAUCCAGGUCCUACCAGUCGCGUUCCCGCUCCCGAUCACACCGUCGUUCCCGCUCCAGACGAUCACGUUCUGCGUCACGCCGAUCUCGUUCCGCGUCACGCCGUUCCGCAUCACGACGAACUCCUGAAAAGCCUGAGAGAACCAGUGUAGACAGCACUAAGUUCGUCUCACCUAAUCAUAUAAGAGCUAGAUCUAGGAGUUGGUCUCAGACGAAGCAGGUGGAAGCACCAGGGAGUCCUAAGGAUAAGAUUGAAUAAAGUAUACCAACGCGAUUCCA